UACAGAGGGGGCAAGCGUUGUUCGGAAUUACUGGGCGUAAAGGGCGCGUAGGCGGCCUGCUAAGUCGAACGUGAAAUCCCCGGGCUCAACCCGGGAACUGCGUCCGAUACUGGCAGGCUUGAAUCCGGGAGAGGGAUGCGGAAUUCCAGGUGUAGCGGUGAAAUGCGUAGAUAUCUGGAGGAACACCGGUGGCGAAGGCGGCAUCCUGGACCGGCAUUGACGCUGAGUGAGCGAAAGCCAGGGGAGCAAACGGG
rnacentral:rRNA from 1 species